GACGUCACAAGGUAGCGCGUAACGGGGCCCGCUGGGGCAGACAACGCCGGGGUUACAGGCCGGCUCUGCGGGGAUUCUACGGAGGGUCGGGCCUCCUCCAGUAAGAAGCGUGGGCGAGUAGUGGUGUCGCCAGUGGCAACUGAAGGGAGUAAUGGAGAUAAAACAAAAGCGAAGGCGAAGUUAAAGCACUCCACGAGUUCCCUCGGAUUAAACGCCGGAGAGAGCGUGAAUUUGCCUCGGGGACGCCUCUCCAGGAAUGUCGGAUUGCACAUCCUAUUGUAAAAUGUACUUACUGCAGAUCAGAAUUUCAACAAGAGAGCAAAACUAACACAAUUUGUAAGAAGUGUGCUCAAAAUGUGAAGCAAUUUGGGACGCCCAAGCCUUGUCAGUACUGUAACAUAAUUGCAGCAUUUAUUGGUACCAAGUGUCAGCGUUGCACAAAUUCAGAAAAAAAGUAUGGACCACCUCAGACCUGUGAACAGUGCAAACAGCAAUGUGCUUUUGAUCGGAAGGAGGAAGGAAGAAGAAAGGUUGAUGGAAAGUUAUUAUGCUGGCUCUGUACUUUAUCGUACAAAAGAGUUUUACAGAAGACGAAAGAACAAAGGAAGAGCCUGGGAUCUUCACAUUCAAAUUCAUCUUCUUCAUCUCUUACUGAGAAAGACCAGCAUCAUCCAAAACAUCAUCACCACCAUCAUCACCAUCACCAUCGUCACAGCAGUAGCCAUCACAAAAUCAGCAAUCUAAGUCCAGAAGAAGAGCAGGGACUGUGGAAACAGAGCCAUAAAUCCUCUGCAACAAUUCAGAAUGAAACUCCAAAGAAAAAGCCCAAAUUGGAAUCUAAGCCAUCUAAUGGAGAUAGUAGCUCUAUAAAUCAGUCAGCAGAUAGUGGGGGAACAGACAAUUUUGUCCUUAUAAGUCAAUUGAAAGAAGAAGUGAUGUCACUUAAGCGUCUCUUACAGCAGAGAGACCAGACCAUUUUAGAAAAAGAUAAAAAGUUAACUGAACUAAAGGCAGACUUUCAGUACCAAGAGUCAAAUUUGAGAACAAAAAUGAACAGUAUGGAAAAAGCCCACAAAGAAACUGUGGAACAACUUCAGGCCAAAAACAGAGAACUACUCAAACAGGUCGCAGCAUUAUCAAAGGGUAAAAAAUUUGACAAAAGUGGAAGCAUACUAACAUCUCCUUGAGAAAGUCAUUUGUUUAGCAUUUCUUCUUACAAUGU
rnacentral:lncRNA from 1 species